CAUGGCCUCGCUCAGUGGGUUAAGGAUCCAGAGUUGCCGUCAGCUAUGGUGUAGGUCGUAGAUGCAGAGGCUCAGAUCUCAUGUUGCUGUGGCUGUGGUGUAGCUCCAAAUAGACCUCUAUCCUAGGAACUUCCAUAUACCUCAGGUAUGGCCCUAAAAAAAAAAAAAAAGUUUUGUUUAAAAAUGAUAAUAUAAUUACUUAUUUUAUGUAAUAUAAAUUUUAAUAUGCAUAAGUAAGGUAUUUGUUUUAAAUAUUGUAAAUAGGCAGUUGACUACCUCACUUGCAUCUCUAAAUAUUUUUAUGUUGAAACUGACCGAAAAAAAAUCUUUAAUCGGAUUAUCUCAUUGGAAAAGUGGGGAGUUGCCUUAUGUCAUGAUCACCUUACAUUGUUAAGAUUUCUUAAAUUUUCUCAAAAAAUUUAUUUUCAACAUUUUCCAAAUAUGGCCGUGAGAUUCCUUUUUUUUUUUUGUUUUUUGUUUUUGUUUUUGUCUUUUUGCCGUUUCUUGGGCCGCUCCCGUGACAUAUGGAGGUUCCCAGGCUAGGGGUCAAAUCGGAGCUGUAGCCACCGGCCUACACCAGAGCCAUAGCAACAGGGGAUCUGAGCCGCGUCUGCAACCCACACCACAGCCCACGGCAACGCCGGAUCGUUAACCCACUGAGCAAGGGCAGGGACCGAAACCGCAACCUCAUGGUUCCUAGUCGGAUUCGUUAACCACUGCGCCACGACGGGAACUCCUGAAAGUGAGAUUCCUUUUACUUAUUGCUUUUCUAACCAUAUACCUUUUUUUUUUUUUUUGUCCUGUUUUGUAGGGCUUUCAGAUUCAGACAACUUUUAUUCCACAGCACUGUAAAAUAUCUUGUAACUGAAUAGAUGGCAUAAAAACAGCUAUGUGUCAGAGGUGCCAUAAAACCACGGACAAGACAGAGGAGAUCUAUGUAUGUAUAUAUAUAUACAUAUAUAUAUGGAGAGAGCAAGAGAGAGAGAGAGAUCCAUCUUAUAUACGGAGAGAGAUAAAGUCCUACGUUGGAUUAGCUGUCUGCAGAAUGUGGGUGAGCCAUUACCUCAGUUUCCCUCUAUCUCCUCUAGUCCUGAGGUCCC
rnacentral:lncRNA from 1 species